rnacentral:rRNA from 1 species
UACGGAGGGUGCGAGCGUUGUCCGGAAUCAUUGGGCGUAAAGGGCGCGUAGGUGGCGGGACAAGCGUGCGGUGAAAGCUCGGGGCUCAACCCCGCGUCGGCCGUGCGAACUGUUUUGCUGGAGCACUGUAGAGGCAGGCGGAAUUCCGGGUGUAGCGGUGGAAUGCGUAGAGAUCCGGAAGAACACCGGUGGCGAAGGCGGCCUGCUGGGCAGUUGCUGACGCUCAGGCACGAAAGCGUGGGGAGCAAAAGGG